CAGAAAUGGUGUGAAGAAUGUAAAGAAUGAAAAGAAGACAAGGAGUAGAGAAGAAGUAGAAGAGGAAGAAGAAAGGAAAGGGAGAUUUAAUAACAUGUUCUAAGCAAAAGAAUUCAGAGUUAUUUCACACGGUUCUUAGAGGCUUAGGACAAUUUGGAGUUAUAACAAGAGCAAGAAUUUCUCUUCACCCAGCACCCACAAAGGGUUCUUGGCCACAUCGCAGGCGAACACUGGAGAAUUCUGUGACCCAACUCCACUGGAGUUGAAGAACAGAGCCACGAAAGAGAGCAAAACAGAGACCUUGGGUGCUCUAUUUUCCGAAAGAGCCAUUCCCAUUAUGGAAUAGCCAAACAAGGGUACACUAGUUAUGAAUAUCAUGAGCUAUGUAUAUAUAUAAUAUUGAUAUAACAUGCUUAAACUAGUCCGUGAAACUCAGCAACCUCUUUUUCUUUUUUUACUUGAGACACUCAUUUUGUUUGGAUGCUCAACUUGCACCACAGAUAUAAUCCAUGAUAUUGGUUACAUUAAG